rnacentral:rRNA from 1 species
CCUACGGGUGGCAGCAGUGAGGAAUAUUGGUCAAUGGUCGGGAGACUGAACCAGCCAAGCCGCGUGAGGGAUGAAGGUACAGAGUAUCGUAAACCUCUUUUGUCAGGGAACAAAUGCGGGUACGUGUCCCCGGAUGAGUGUACCUGAAGAAAAAGCAUCGGCUAACUCCGUGCCAGCAGCCGCGGUAAUACGGAGGAUGCGAGCGUUAUCCGGAUUUAUUGGGUUUAAAGGGUGCGCAGGCGGUCUGUUAAGUCAGCGGUCAAAGUCCGGGGCUCAACCCCGGCCAGCCGUUGAAACUGGCAGUCUUGAGUUGGAGAGAGGUAUGCGGAAUGCGCGGUGUAGCGGUGAAAUGCAUAGAUAUCGCGCAGAACUCCGAUUGCGAAGGCAGCAUGCCGGCUCCACACUGACGCUGAGGCACGAAAGCGUGGGUAUCGAACAGGAUUAGAUACCCUAGUAGUC